rnacentral:rRNA from 1 species
GGAGUUUGGGCCGUGUCUCAGUCCCAAUGUGGCCGGUCGCCCUCUCAGGUCGGCUACUGAUCGUCGCUUUGGUGGGCCGUUACCCUGCCAACUGGCUAAUCAAACGCGGGUCCAUCCUUAAGCGAAUUUCCUUUCCUCACUGAGUCAUGCGACUCUGUAAGCAUAUGGCGUAUUAGCAGUGAUUUCUCACUGUUAUUCGCCUCUUAAGGGCAGGUUACCCACGCGUUACUCACCCGUCCGCCACUAGAAUUUCUUUGAAUCCAGCGAACCUUCAUCAAAGAGUUCCCGUUCGACUUGCAUGUGUUAGGCACGCCGCCAGCGUUCAUC